AUGUUCGAGUUGCCGGCAGAAUUGGUAGCUAAGCCUUUAGCUUUGAUAGGUUUGACUGGAUUAGACAUUGCAAAUCCAGUCCAUCGUUCUAUCUGGGAUGCAUUCAGCAAUAAUCGUAGACCAGAUUGCGCAGCCGUUCAAUUCAAGCUCCUUAGUUUGACGCACGAAUUUCCUACAGUCAAGCCAAAGCGUAGCUCAUACGAAUGGUACAUACCUAAAGGAAUUUUAAAACGGAAUUGGAUGAACAAGUACCUAAAUGACAUUCCUUCUGUAGUUGUUGUAUUCUAUGAUUUAGAUUGGAAUGACCCUCUGUGGAAUGAGAAAAAGAUGGAAUGUGCUUCUAGAGUGCAAUCUUUAAGAGCUGCCCUUGAUGGAAGAAGUACAAAAAUAGCUGUAGUAUUGAUACAACAUGCUAUUCAACCGCUUCCUGGUGCCGAGGAUGUAGUUGCAACUGAGCGUGCAACAGCACUGUGUGGAGCUUGUGAUUUAACUGCGAAACUUCUAUAUAUUCUGCCACAUGCUGAUCACUUGUUGGGUUAUAUAUCUAGGUUAGAGACUGCAUUCUAUGAUUUGGCACAAAACUUUUAUCAUCAUGAAUAUCGGAAUGUUAAAAGUCAUCGUGAUCAGCUCACUAAGAAUGUUCAUCAAUAUUUAUUUGUCCGUCAUCAAUUUAAAAUGGCAUUUUUAAACGAACUCAAGCAGGAACUGCAUCUUGCCCAAAAGCAUUAUAUGCAAGCCUACCAUAAUCUUCUGGAAACGAGAAUGACAGAUGCAAACGCAGUAGAGAUAAAAACUAUUGCUGGUUUUAUAAACUAUAAACUGUGCAGAAUAAUGUUUAGUUUGAAUCUUCCAAAAGAUGCCAUUUCUCAAUUUAGACUUCAUACAGAAAGAUUUAAACUAAAAACUGGGCCAAAGGAGCUUAUGUUUGAACACCAUGCUUGGAUGAGCAGCCAGUUCUCUACGUUUGCAGAAUUAUUCGAUGAAGCCAUUCGUCAAGGUUUGCCUGCUGUUCAAACUCAACAUCCAGGGUAUUAUUUCCAAUUAGCUGCUAAUCACGCAAGUUUACGACAGUCUGCGUGUAAAGAACUUUGCCAGCAUAUAAACAACUAUUCAGAUCCAGAUCCAUUAUUGGGUGAAGAAAAACUCGAAUUUUAUGGACAACGACCUUGGCGACCUGGAAAGUUAAGUGCAGAACCUGCAGAUACAGCUAGAGAAGCUAUUGGCAUACAAGCUUUACAAUAUAGAGAGAAGACUACAGUUAAUCAUUCUAUGAUAAUUAUUGGUUUACUAGGAAAUGCGAUAUCGCAAUUCAAGGUGUACCGUUGUCCAAGAAUGCGGCGAUUACUAGUUGUGCAAAUGGCAGAAGAGUACUUUAAUGCUCGAGAUUACGGCAAAGUUCUUACGUUAUUGAUGCACAUGUUAUGGGAAUAUCAUGGAGAACGAUGGCCAGUCUUACUCACAGAUAUUUUAAAGAAUGCACUACGAGCCGCGUAUCUGUCGACUAGUAUUCAAGAUUAUCUUACUUUAGCCCUUGAAGCUUUAGGACCUUCAACUACAUUUUCAAAGGAACGACAAACUGUUAUUCAUAAUAAUAUUAUGAAUAUACUACAGAAAAAACCACCAAAUCCAGAGCCAGAUUUACCAGAUGAUAAACAUCAUGCCAUGGAGAAAUGGAUGUUGGAAUUAAAUCGUUCAGAGCCAAAUAUUUUUACAAUUGAUGACAAUAAUAUGACAUCAUUUGUUGACCUUAAAGCAAGGUUUUUGCAACAAACAUAUGCAGUGAACACAAUGAUAACAGUGGAAGUUAUUAUAAGGAAUUCUUACUGUGGUAUGAUUGCAUUUUCUAAUGCAGCGAUAACAGUAAGUGGACCUGGUUACAAUGUUGAAAUUCCUAUCGACGAGGCUCAACAAUCAAAUCUCGUUUUUCAAGCAAAAGAAACAAAAAAGUUUUACUUUAAUUUUAAAGCGCCUCAUCAAAAUGAUGGCGUAGAGAUUCGUAUUAGUACAGUUUCCUUACAAAUGGGUGAUAAGGCGCAUUGCUGUAUUAUAUUAAGAUUUUCAGCUAUGGGUAGAGAAACAAAUUUGUUGGAUCGUUUAUAUCCUGAAAUACAACAACUUCGUGGAGGCGAGUUUGAAGCAAUAAGACCGUUAAUUCAUGCAGAGAUUAAACAGGAAGAAUCGAGUUUAAGUCUAGAUGUAGAAUCCAAUAAUCCUGCGCUUACAGGCGAAUGGUUACCAAUCACGAUAUCCCUAUCAUCUAAUGAGAGUAUUAAUGCAGUCUGUUUGUAUAUAAUACUUGUGUCAGAUGGUGGUAACGAGCAAUCAACUGAAUUAAGUAUUAAUAUGCUUACUAAAGAGUCAAAAUUAUCUGUUCUUGUUGGUGAUAUGGUAAGAGGCGCUUCGACCAAACAUAUUGUGUAUAUUAGAGCACAUAAAGUAGGCGAUAGAAAUAUCAUAAUAAAGGCAGAUUAUACUAGACCUGAACAAAUUAGAGGAAGCAAAGAAUUAACAUAUUCUUUAGCGGUUAAGAAACCAUUCGAAGUGGCAACACAAUUUUACACUACACUCUUUGAACCACUAACAAAGGGUUUUGUUAACGAACCCUUUAUCAUUAUGCCUCAUAUUACAUGCGUUUCCCCAUGGCCUAUAAAAAUUCUAAGUGCAUCUAUAGAAUUGAGAUAUAAGUUUAUUAUUAAGACAUUAGAAUAUUAUGGUGAACUCAAACUUAAAAUUAGGCAGAUCCUAAGGAAGAACAGAUUCAAAGAGAGAACAAUCUUGACAACCGGGAGUCUAUUUUAGCGGGUAUUGAACUCUGUAAUGGUGAGACAGGAACUGAUGCUUAUUGUUUGAUUCCAAAGAUAGGUGGUGAGCAACCAAUUAGCAUUGGAAUGUAUACUAUCAAGUGGAAAAGAGCAAAUGAUGAAACUGCAUUGGAGACUAGCAGUAGCGCAACUUUAGCUCCUUUAUGGGUCGAAAAUGCGGUGAUUGGAUUGGAAGCCAAAAUGCCAGCCCAUGGAUGGGUUCGAACGCCAUUCUGUAUAUCAUAUUUCAUA
rnacentral:misc_RNA from 1 species